UGUCCCACCUUCAGCAGUUUCGUCUCCUUGAGAUCCUAGUCGAUUCAGUAGCCGUCUUUGUUUCCCGCUGACCUGCAGGUAGUGGGAGAUCUGUAGAGAGAACACCGGGACAUCUCUGAAGCUGUGAAAUGGAACUGUUGGCAUUCAGAGAUGUGUCUAUAGAAUUCUCUAUGGAUGAGUGGGACUGCCUGGACCCUGCUCAGCAGAAUUUGUAUCGGGAUGUCAUGUUAGAGACCUACAGACACCUGGUCUUCCUAGGGCUUGCCAUCUCUAAGCCAGAGCUCAUCACCUGUCUGGAGCAAAGUAAAGAACCCUGGAAGGUGAAGACUCACCAGACAGUGGUC